rnacentral:ncRNA from 1 species
UCAAAUCUUCAGGGCAGGGUGAAAGUCCCUACUGGCGGUAUACUCCGCGAACCUUCGGGCCGAGCCGGUGAAACUCCGGCAGCAACAGUGACAGUCUGGAUGAAAGAAGAGCUUU